rnacentral:rRNA from 1 species
UGGAGAUGGCGACCGGCGGCACGGGUGAGUAACACGUAUCCAACCUGCCGAUAACUCGGGGAUAGCCUUUCGAAAGAAAGAUUAAUACCCGAUGGCAUAGUUCUUCCGCAUGGUGGAACUAUUAAAGAAUUUCGGUCAUCGAUGGGGAUGCGUUCCAUUAGGUUGUUGGCGGGGUAACGGCCCACCAAGCCUUCGAUGGAUAGGGGUUCUGAGAGGAAGGUCCCCCACAUUGGAACUGAGACACGGUCCAAACUCCUACGGAGGCAGCAUG